rnacentral:lncRNA from 1 species
CCACCUCCCGGUCAAAGCCCAGGGUCUGCAAAGCAGCCUGGACCCCAAGGCCCAGCUCCAGAGAAGAAGACCGGCUUCUCUCCAUGGACUUGCUUAGCAUAUCAGUUUCUGCCCUACUGGUUGCAUCAAAAUUAAAUUUCUAUGCAGUGCUGCCUCUCUGCUGGUUACAAGGACAUCCUGGUCUAAGUGGAGAUCCUUACAAAUCUGGGAGUGCUUUAAAAAUGUCCUUAAAACUUAACCCCGGGGAACGGUGGCACAUGCACGUGAGAUUGGUGAAUUCAGAGGCAGCUGAACAAAAAGUUUUCAGAAGUGUAUGGAGGGUUGGGGAUUUAGCUCAGUGGUAGAGCGCUUGCCUAGCAAGCUCGAGGCCCUGGGUUCGGUCCCCAGCUCCUAAAA